GGUGAUCAAACUGGAAGAUGUUAAGUUUUUUGUUUGGCUCUCUCGUUCUCGACGUCAUCGUCAACAAAUCUGAAUUCUAGCAGUACAGAUACUUUUCCUGCAGUUUUUGCGAUAUCGCAGUGAAAUGCUUAUGAAUAGAGUUUUUCGUCCUUCUGCUGGAAGACACUGGACUCUGACUGGAGAAUUCUGCAAAGUGGUAGUUCACCCUGUUGAAGUAUGCGAACUUGAACUCUGUGGCAGCGCUUAUCGCAGUCCAAAAACUUUGCCUGCAGCAUCCGUUCCUAGUAAAAAUGAAUGUUCCAGCCAAAUGUGACGAUAUCGUUCAUACCCAGCCCGUCUUGUCCGCGGAAAGGGAAACGGAGAAGAGCUUUGUGCGUGCCAGAUUUCCAUUCACAGAGAUGCAGUACCCCACAGCGGUAGCUUUGAACCGUAACGCGGGGAUUUCUUGAGAGCAGAGAACGGAAAUUAUAGAAAAGGAUUGUUUCAGACAAAAUCGUCGUCGUGGAGGAAGAGAUUGACUGUCCACCUGUAACCUGUAAUCACUGUGAGGAAAACGCCAACCCAAAGCUGUGUGCUGUUUGCGGCUCUCUCAAAGAUCGGCGAUAUCGCCAUGUCAUGUCCACCCAGUUCUACAUACAUAUAACUCAACCGUUGCGUUUGCCUCAUCAGUAGCGGAAAGUAGCCGGAUCUCAUGUGGAAUUUAUUAAAGAAGAACACCAGUCGAAACUUCAAAAUAAGUGUUCCAAAAUUCGUCGAGCGAAAGGUUGCUGACGACAUCGUCUGGGCAGACUGAAUUUAUUGACAAUAUUGUCUGAAUUUCCCGAGGCCUGUCUAAAAUCUUCUCAGAGUGUUUGUUUCCCUUUCAUUUGAAUAUUUUUUGAACCAGAUGAAUUUAGCGUGAUACGAAAUUUUUUCAGUUGUGAAUAUCUUGAUAUUUAAGGGUACAAAGUA